CUGUUCGGCGUUUUGCCUUUUUUUUCUUUCUGGUUUUUUUUUUUCCUUUCGUAGUUUUAAUUGGUACUUUGGGCCGAAAGGCUGGGCCUCACCGAGAAAGGAAACUGAGGCUGAGCAGACACUCUCUGCGUAGGAUCAUCAUGCCGAGCAUAAACUGGACUUUCCCACUUGCCUGGCAGGAGUGAGACAGAUCACUGUGUGCUAUAUGAGCAUCUGAGGAAGCAAGAGGCUACUAUGAGCAGACUGGAGUUGGUCC